UAGCUCAGAUGGUAAAGCAUCUGCCUGCAAUGCAGGAGACCAAGGUUCAACCCCUGG
rnacentral:tRNA from 1 species